UUAGUUAUUUCUCCGCCUACUCCUUUUCUUGUUACGAUGGAAUUCAUAUCAAAGGUCGAGGUUUGCGAUAAGUUUUUAAUUUUUUUCAGAGAUAACCCUUCACGCCUCCAUCCGAGUCUACGUUUCCUGCCUCUUUCCGAAUAUACAAAUUACAAAUCUGAAAUCUUUCUUUUUCUCGCUCCCCGUGGAAGAUUGCGAAACCUGCGCUGUUUUGAUGAACUAGGGAAGAGUUGAGUACAAGAAAUGCCUGUCAGAAAAACUGAUUUUUUUAAGUCGAGAAAAUAUUUCCCGAACCAGCUGGAACUGCCCCAACAACAUCCUGAUGAGCAGGAAAAAAAUACAUCUUAUGUAUCUGCAUCUGCAUCAACUCCUAUAGCUUCUCUGAUAACUGUUUUGCCCGGUAGACCACCAGUUUCUAUUUUUCUUAAAGAGCCUGGCAAUUGUUGUCCAGCUGCUGAAUCCAAUCACCUUCGGUUUACUUCUGAACAUGGCAUUCCUCAUUCAGCUGAUUCUAGGGGGAACACUGAUAAUGAAAGGAAAGAACAGUUACUAUAUAUACAGAAGCUUUUGAACCUCCACGAAGAGUAUGAUAAGAGGGAUAACAUUCAAAGUAAGACACUGUAGCCCAGUGUGUUUUGUCAUUUAUCAUCUGUUGAGCUUAGCAGAUAUGCCGUCAAUUUGGAGAAAAGAUCAAUCCAGCUAUCAAUCGAGGAAGUGAAAGAGAUCAGAAGGAUGAAUGCUUUAAAUAUAUUUGGAAAGUCUUCACCAACCAGCCAUCCCUCGCCAACAUUUCAACAAGUUCAAACCAAAAGGUGAAUGGCGAUUCGAUAUAAAUUUGUUAAAUUCUAGUGAUUUUGCUGAUGACCAGGUAAAUUUUGAAUCUGCUUCAAUUUCUUCAUUUUUCCUUUCCAUCUUUUUGGUUGGCCUGAAACGAUUCUACCUCUUUUUGGUUACUGAGAGCCUUGCGCUUAGGAUCGGAAUUUACUAAUUAUAAUCUGUCAUCUUUACCUUUGAGCGAUAGAAUUAGUGACGGAUGGGGAAUAAUUUUCAAUAUGACCCCUUCUUUCACGGUGGAUGAAGAAAGUCUUAUCAAAUAUCAGUCUCUGCUGUUUCCUUAACUAGAAUGAAAGGCGUAGUGAAAUGGUUUGAGAUAAUAUGCUUGAUUGGAUUUUGGGAAAUGAGUGGAAAAAAAUUGAAUAAAAAUAUUAUAAAAUUAAAAUGUUAUUAGAA